GCGGAUGUAGCCAAGUGGAUA
rnacentral:tRNA from 1 species